AUUCCCGUACUUCUGACUAUUGCGAUGGGGGGACGGAGAAGGCUAGGUGGGCCAGGCGACGGUUGUCCUGGUUCAAGUGCGUAGGCUUAAGAGUUAGGUAAAUCCGGCUCUUUGUAAGGCUGAGACACGACGUCGAGCUGCUACGGCAGUGAAGUCAUUGAUGCCAUGCUUCCAGGAAAAGCCUCUAAGCUUCAGAUAGUCAGGAAUCGUACCCCAAACCGACACAGGUGGUCGG
rnacentral:rRNA from 1 species